AGUUUUUCAGAGGAUUCAAACGCUUGAGGGUCGAUGCAUAUUCAAAGAUCAAACUUCAAUCGCAAAAACAGUCGGUGUUUACAGUGAAAGCAGCAAGAACACAUUCCAAACAUAAUGGAUGCUUCAAUAUCCAUCUGAAGGUUACCCUUGACAUUUGGGAGGGAGGUCAUGAAGUUUUUCAUGGACUCCUGGGAGAGAGAGCGACACAGCGCUGGACAGGCAGGACUUCUCCAAGGCCUCUCCCUGUUGAACCAUCAGCCGUCCUGGGACCGCUCUCCUUCCCUUGGCUGUCGGUGCCAUUUCCAGACGUUUUGCAUCUGGAACUUCAUCGUUCAGGAGACUUUGCCUCUGCCUCUCUCUCUCUCUUCCUUAUGUGUAUAGUUUCCUUGUCUCUCCCCCUUGUGUGUGUGUGUGUGAAUGGUGUGAUGUGAGUUUUUCCCUGAGCGUACGUGUAGUCUGUCCUCUUCCCAGGUAUCCAUGGUGAUGGAGGUCAUGUGGCUAAGGUCCUAUCUCUGCUUGGUGGCACCUGGAAGUUGUUUGAGACGUCCUCCCAGUAUAUUCUUCAUAUAUGUUAUCAAUCUAUCUAUAAUUUCGUCAUCCUGAUUUUCCAUACUGUAAUUUUUCUAUCUGGUCUAUUCUAUAAAAAUAUCUAUUGCAUGUCCAUCUGUCUUGGAAGAGGGUUCCCUUCCCUGUUGCUCUUCCUGAAGUUCCUCCCCGCCCCCCAAUUAAAAGGGUUUUUGGGGAGUUUUACCUUUUUGGAAUCAAGAGUUUAAGGACCAAGGAUAUUGUAUUCUGUACAGCUUGUAAAGCCCCCUGAGGCAAAUGUGUGAUUUGUGAUAUUGGACUAUACAAAUACACAUUGACUUGACAUGACUUGAACACAUCCUGAACCUGAAAGGAUGCCAUUUCUGUUCAUUGAUUGGCUAAUAAUGUCAGCUUCCAUUAUUAAAUCUCAUUAGCUGAGAUUUGGACAUACACUGGAGUUUCCCACUUUUUUUGUGGUAGUUUCAAUUUCCAACAGUAGAGAUCUGUUAAUCUGUUCCCAUUAGGAAAUAAACUGGA